GCCUUUGAGGAAGCUGAAGGCCUAUUGUAUGGAACAGGCAUAGCCGAUUAGUAUGACAGUGUGAGCUGAAAUCACUUGCACCGCUGACAAUGCUUUUUUUUAAGGCACCAUCUUUGACUUCAGAAAGCAUACACAAAAUAUUAAUAAAUUAUGA